rnacentral:rRNA from 1 species
UGCCAGACUCCUACGGGAGGCAGCAGUGGGGAAUAUUGCACAAUGGGGGAAACCCUGAUGCAGCGACGCCGCGUGAGCGAUGAAGUAUUUCGGUAUGUAAAGCUCUAUCAGCAGGGAAGAAAAUGACGGUACCUGACUAAGAAGCCCCGGCUAACUACGUGCCAGCAGCCGCGGUAAUACGUAGGGGGCAAGCGUUAUCCGGAUUUACUGGGUGUAAAGGGAGCGUAGACGGCUGUGCAAGCCAGAUGUGAAAGCCCGGGGCUCAACCCCGGGACUGCAUUUGGAACUGUGUGGCUGGAGUGUCGGAGAGGCAGGCGGAAUUCCUAGUGUAGCGGUGAAAUGCGUAGAUAUUAGGAGGAACACCAGUGGCGAAGGCGGCCUGCUGGACGAUGACUGACGUUGAGGCUCGAAAGCGUGGGGAGCAAACAGGAUUAGAUACCCUGGUAGA